GUGGGGAAUUUUGGACAAUGGGCGAAAGCCUGAUCCAGCCAUGCCGCGUGCAGGAUGAAGGCCUUCGGGUUGUAAACUGCUUUUGUACGGAACGAAACGGUCCUGGCUAAUAUCCGGGGCUAAUGACGGUACCGUAAGAAUAAGCACCGGCUAACUACGUGCCAGCAGCCGCGGUAAUACGUAGGGUGCGAGCGUUAAUCGGAAUUACUGGGCGUAAAGCGUGCGCAGGCGGUGCUGUAAGACAGGCGUGAAAUCCCCGGGCUCAACCUGGGAAUUGCGCUUGUGACUGCAGUGCUGGAGUGCGGCAGAGUGGGAUGGAAUUCCGCGUGUAGCAGUGAAAUGCGUAGAUAUGCGGAGGAACACCGAUGGCGAAGGCAAUCCCCUGGGCCUGCACUGACGCUCAUGCACGAAAGCGUGGGGAGCAAACAGGAUUAGAAACCCUUGUAGUCC
rnacentral:rRNA from 1 species